rnacentral:rRNA from 1 species
UACAGAGGUCCCAAGCGUUGUUCGGAUUCACUGGGCGUAAAGGGUGCGUAGGUGGUGAGGUAAGUCGGAUGUGAAAUCUCCGGGCUCAACCCGGAAAUGGCAUUGGAAACUACCUUGCUUGAGGAUUUGAGGGGGGAUUGGAAUACUUGGUGUAGCAGUGAAAUGCGUAGAGAUCCGGCGGAACACCGGUGGUGAAGGCGGUCUCCUGGGCCGAGGGCCGACGCUGAGGCGCGAGAGCGUGGGGAGCGAACCGG